AUAAGGGGACUCUUCCUCUCUCAUCAAAGUGCCUUUUUUGAAACUGGCAGUGGUCAUUACAGAAACUAGAAAAUAUCAUCCUGAGUGAGAUAACCCAGUCACAAAAGAACACACGUGGUGUGUACUCACUGGCAGAAUUACUCCUGUCUAAAGGAAAUACAGGGACAAAGUAUGGAGCAGAGACUGAAGGAAAGGCCAUCCAGAGACUGCCCCACCUGUGGAUCCAUCCCAUAUACAGACACCAAACCUAGACACUAUACAACUGUGGAUGCUCACAGCCAACCAUUGGACUGAUCACAGGGACUCCAAUGGAGGAGUAAGGCAAGGGAGGAUUUCCCUUCAGUCGUCAUCCUCCAGACCCCUGGGAAAAAAAUCACCUGGACCAGAGACAAGUAUAACAGCACAUGAAAGAGCCUGAAAUAAUCCCCUAACUUGACCCUGAUUCUAAGACACCUGUCAGAAAGGAGCAGCACCUAUAACUGUGCCAAGUGUCACAUUCCUCAAGCCUGGAUCAUCUCCAGAAAUGACUGAGGCAUGGCUAUCUAUCCAGCAGGAGAUAUUAGACAAGUGAUGCAGAAAAGGAUGAAAAGAGAAAGAUAACUUCCUAUUUGUUCACUGCAUAAUGUAUAAUCAUAGCUUUUGUGGUUCUCACACUACCCAAUUUUCAGUGACAUUUUCUCCCUCUUACAAGAAAGGACUCUGGGAAGUGAGUUAUAUAAAAAUGAUGCUAUUAAGAAAAUGGCUAUGUGACCCAUUAACAGUGCUAAUGAGACCCCUUGACCAAAAGGAAUGGUUUUGGUCUUCUGUUGCUGAAAUCUGAGAUUGUCAUAGAAUCAAGAAUAAGAACAGAUUGCAGUUUGGUCUGAACAGAAGUCAAAGACAGACAUUACCAAUUGGAAGUGUUAUUAUCCAAUAGGACAAUAUGUCCCUCAUAGUCAGAUAAAUAUGGGUAUAAAUCUAGACUCCAAUCCCUAUUUCCUCUGUAACUUUACAUCAUGUACUAAACCUUUCUGAGUCUCAUUUUUCUUACCUAUAAAAUGAAUAAUACAUUUUAAAUAAUAGAUAAAAUGCUUUAUUCUUAAUUGCAGUAUUUAGCAUCAAAUUUUCUAUUAUUAAAAUUAUUCAUCGCUUAAAUGCACAAAAUAACCUACCAGACCAUCUAUUUAACCAGAAACAAUUUGCUUAAAAAUAAUUUUUAAAACCUACCAUGCGAAAAUCUUCAUAUACUCAAAUGAAUGCUUAAGAAGAUGACUAUUUAGAAAAUAUUUACUAAAACCUUACACAAACUUUUUGAUUGAUAUACAGUAGGAUUUUGGAAAUUUUGUUAAAUAUGGACAUAAAUUGUUCAAUUGAUUUGCUAAUUGAGAUAAGCAGGCUUAAAAUUACAAAACUCCCUAAAACAAAGUCAUUUCAAUAUCUAGGUACCUUACACAGACCAGCAGGUGAAUGUUGAAGUCAGUAAAAGGCUAAAAAAGACCUCAUAAAAAGUAUUUUGUUAAAGUUAAUUUUGUUUUAACGAUGGCAUUAUUGGCAUAAAAGGUAUUAAUUAGAAGAAGUUGGGUGAAGAGUCAAUGAAAACUAUACUGUUUUUCAGUUCUUAUGUGAGCCUAAAUUUAUU
rnacentral:lncRNA from 1 species